UGCGCGCUUAAGCGUCUUACAUUCUAGUAUUUGAAAGCAUAACUGAAGAAAAGCUUGUUUCAAAAUAAAUGAUAGUAACAAUAUAUAGAAUUUAAAGCAACAACAUUGAAAUGUAUGGUGACGAUAAAAACCAUGUUACUAACGAAUCACUGGAGGUGCCUCUACAUUGCAUUGUCCGAAUAUUAUUUUAAAGCGCAUCUUUACCAACAUAAGCAUUCUUUUAUAAACCGGGAGAAGAAAUUCACAUAUCGCACAUAACAUUAAAUUCUACAAUGUUGUGCAUAUUAUCUCAACUGGAACGCCUUUGAAACAAGUCUAUUCGACAAGAGCUUUAGUUAAAUAACGACUUGUCACCAACGAACCUGUGAGAGAAAUUAACGUUAUUUCCUUUCAACUGGUUCCUUUGGUACCUUUAUAUAGGAACCAUUCAACUAAGUGACAAAACUUCACUGUAAUCGCCUGAUUUCUUUCAUUUAUUAGCCCUCAACAUCUACGACUGUUUUCAAAGCAACAACAUACGUUUUAAUUUGUCAUGUAACAGGUAGCCAUGUUGUGAAUGUUGUUGAAAUAUGUGUUCAGUGUGGAGCUGAUCACAAGUAUUCAGUGAUAACCAUCUAAAUAAGAAUGAUGUACAAGAUUACCAGAAUUCUCUCCAUAGUCUAUGAAUGCGUAGUUAAUUAAACACUGAUUUUAUUGCAGCGCGUAUUACAAUAAUGGUAAGCAUUCAGUAUGACCAAUAACUGUCGCAACGUUUUGAAAUUAUUGCCAAAAUUUCUCUGUAGCUACGAGCAGAGUCUGGGUCCUAAAUACUUACUUCGCAUGAAUUAUCCUAAAAACAUAUUCUGUUUUAUGAGCAGAAACAACAUUUACCAUUAAAUAAAAUAAAAUAAAAAAGUUAAGGAAGAAAUUGAUUAAAUGCCAUAGAUCAAGAUGGCGUUUUUAUUUUGUCGAAGCUGAUCGAUAAUACCGUAACGUAUGUUGUUUCUCUCCCCGUUUUCUUUUUGUUUCAUAAAUAUUGUAUCUUCCAUUAUCAAUAACAAACAGUAUGAAAACACAAAAGAAAAUGUUAAUGGUGAAAACUAACCUAAUUCCUAGUGGCAACUACACUAAUAUUAGGAGGGGGAAUAUAUCUCACAGUGAGUCAAAUAAUGAAAAUUAUUCAACUAAAGUACAAAAAGAAGCCACUGGUAUACUGAAUACAUAAAACUGCUCCCAAAUUCUGCCGCAAGGCUAACUCAGUUUAUCAGUAACUCUGAUAAUAGUUUGGGUCACCAAGUGCUCAAGGAGCUUUUGACAAGAAGUCUGCAGAUAUCAAAAGGUAAAAACAAAAGUAAAUAACAAAAUCGGUCUGAAUUGGGAUGGAGUGUUGUUACUGUUGUUAUAGUUGCUGUUGGUGUUCUAUUUAUAUUGUUCUAUUAUCAAAAUGUAAACGCAUCUUGUCAACGUCUAGACACGGAGUCUAUAUGCUAAUAAUCACCAAAAGUAGGAGCCAUAUGUUUAGCGAAGGAACAUUAUAUUGCUGACGUCUCAAGGUUCCAUAUUUAAUCUCUUACCUCUUACAUUAUAGAAUAUUGUGCCUCUUUAACACACACACACUAACACACACACACAAACACACACAAACACACACACACACACACACACACACACACACACACACACACACACAUCCUUUAAGUUCGUUUUCGGGAAACGAUUUGGAUAUACCUGUACAAGCUCCUAUUUUAUUAUGCCGGCUACAGCCUAAGGGUAUCAACUGGCGAUACCAGUUUUUUGGGGUCGCAACGAGCUGUGCCGAUAUAAUGUAGGAUAAAUAUAAUAAUAAUAAUAAUAAAAUAUUCACACAAAUACAUAACAAAAACACCAGGACUUACAAACACGUAUAACAUACAGAAAAUUGCACUACUAGGCACUGCACACAUCCUACGCAGAACACUUUCAAUACAGUAACCAUAAGAGCAUCACAACAAAUCACAGCACAUACCCAAGGCACACAGAGCUGCGCUCGGUAGUGAAGUGAAAGCACGUUAUAAAAAUAAAACUACUGAAUGAUAAUAACAAUAAUCUGGGAAGAGGUAAGGGAAAACUAAGUCACUUGCUAUUUGUGGACAACCUGAAGCUAUUCACACAAACUGAAGCAGAACUGGACAGCCUAGUCGAGUCUGUGCGGAUUUUCUCCAAUAAUAUUAAAAUGGAUUUCGGACUCUUAAAAUAUGCUACGAUGGUGAUGAGACGAGGAAAGCUUGCCAAGACAGAAGGCUUAGGGUUGCUAAGUGGUGAAAUGAUGAAGGCAAUUCAACCUCAAUCCAGCUAUAAAUGCCUGGGAAUACUUGAGGCAGAUGGAAUAAAACACCACGUCAUGAAGGAAAAGACAAAAAAAGAGAUUACCUGCGGCGAGUGAGAAAAAUAUUGGCUUGAAAGGUGAAUGUAAGAAACAUAAUUUCGGCGAUAAACUCACGCGCAGUCGCAGUAGUUCGGUUUGACGCUGGAAUGCUGAAGAGGACAGAGAAGGAGCUAAAGGAGAUGGACAGGUAGUCAAGAAAGCUCCUGACGAUGCAUGGAGCUCAUUAUCCACGUGCAGACACUGAUCGACAAUACAUGAAGAGAGCAAAUGGAGGAAAGGGACUGAUAAUUGUGGAAGAUUGCAUGCGUAUCGAACUCGAGAGUUUAAUGGGAUACCUAGUCCAAAGUAAGGAAACCUAGCUUAUGACAGUUAGGAAUGAGGGAGUACUGAGAGCAGAGAAAAAAGGGGAAAACAAAGGAAGAAGUACAAAAAGGACAUGAAGAAGAAUUACGCAAGAAGGGAGUACACAAUCAAUUCCAUAUAGCCACAGAAGGAUUGGCUGAUGAAAGGAAACCUAAAAAAAGAGAUUGAGAGCACUAUACUGGUUGCGCAGGACCAAGCUCUGGCCACAAACUGGAGGGUCAAUCUGAGGAAUGAGCAAAUGUCUCUGCUGUGCCGCUUCUGCAAUAAAGUGGAUGAAACCAUUGCCCAUAUCACGAACGAAUGCCUUAGACUUUCCCAAAACCACUACAAGUUGUGGCGACACGGCCAGGUAGCGAAAGUGCUACAUUGGAAACUGUGCGAAAAGUGGGGGCUAGAGAGAUUUUUCGAUGUUGUUGUUGUUGUUAUUGUUGUUAUUCAGGUCACUGCUUGGAAUCGAACUCGGAAUCUUGGGAUUAGUAACUCGCGCUCUUAACCACUACGCCAUAUACCCACGUGCAUAUGGUGUAGUGGUUAAGAUUCCGAGUUCAAUUCCAGGCAAUGACCUGAAUAAUAAUAAUAAUAAUAAUAAUAAUAAUAAUAAUAAUAAUAAUAAUAAUAAUAAUAAUAAUAAUAAUAAUAAUAAUUGAUUGGAAGUGUUAUCAUGUACAUUGGUUUGUCUUGCUAUAAAAGAUGGGCUACAGCAAAUAUUCUGCUCAAUACCACAGAUUUGCUUGUCAGUUGUUUGACCUUAACCAGUUGAGCAUGUCCCUUAGUGGCUGACGAUAUGUGCAUCGCUGAUCACGAGCAGAAGUAGUGGGGGAGCAUAAUAGCCAUGUGUUGAGAAGGAUUCUUUGGGGUUUGAAUAAUUCACCUCUGGAAACAUGGGUGGUUCUUUCAACAUCCUUAAACAACCCUUAUUCAGGGACCUUUUGAGCGGGAUGGGCUACUCAACCUGAAGAAAAUUCUAACUGGGCCCCACCUGCAAGGUCAUGUGCUGUUUAUCUUGAUAUGAGAUCACCAUGUCGCGCACAUAUGGUUGUGAUGCAUGUGCCUGGUGUACCUUUAUCAGACGGGUAGUCAUGAUGGGUAUAUUGGGCUUCGUAUAUUUUACCCCAGUGUCACUUUGAUGGCAUGCACUGCUCUCUCACUCAAUAAUAAUAAUAAUAAUACUACUAAUAAUAAUAAUAACAUCGAAAAAUACCUUAGGAAUGAGAACCCAGGUUCGGAAUUUCCCCAAGACACCUGAUGAAGGCUGGAGUGUAUAUCAGCCGAAACAUUGUGUUAACGACAAAGAUGAGGACAAAUAUCCGUCAAAUGUAAAUAAUGUACAUAAGUCCUCAUCUCUUAAAUAUAGAACUAAAUAUAUAUAUAAACUUUUAAUAUUAAAAAUGCAUUUAAUUCAUUAACUAUCCACGAAAACAUUGUUUAAAUACCCACUAAGCUUCGCUGUGAAACACUACUGGAUAGACCAAUUUACAUAUUCAACAUAUUCCUGGCACCUGGAAUAAUCUUGAAAUAUGCAUGUACACCCAUUAUCUAUUUUACUACCUUCGAUCGCAUUAUUUACAAAGACGUAUUCGGAUACGAAACGUCGUAACUUUCUGUGCUGGCUCUAAUUUCUAUGGAAACUCUGUAGAGAUAGACUUAAAAGUGAUUGUGUGUUAGUGCUUGUGUUUGUCCUCCACCACUGCUUGGUAACCGAUGUUGGUGUGUUUACGUUCCCAUAAUCAAGCGGUUCGGCAAAAGAGAAUGAUAGGAUAACUACCAGGCUUUAAAAAAGUCCUGGGUCGAUUUGUCCGACUAAAACCCCUUCAAGGCGUUGCUCCAGCAUGGCCGUAGUCAAAUGACUGAGACAAGUAAAAGAUAAAAGAGUAACACACACACACACACUCACAAAUAUUCAUCACCGUGACCGACCAAGCAAUCAGAUGUUGCUACACAUCGCUGGUCACAAUGCGCUUCGCAUUGUUUUAGCCUUCGAAUAACACCACCCCGCUGGCUAAGCGAGCAGGCCAACAGAAGAAAGAGUGCGAGAAAGUUGUGGCGAAAGAGUACAGCAGGGAUCGCCGCCACCCACUGCCGGAGCCUCGUGGAGCUUUAAUUGUUUUUUGCUCAAUAAUCACUCACAACGCCCGGUCUAGGAAUCGAAACCGCGAUCCUACGACCGCUAAUCCGCUGCCCUAACCACUGGGCCAUUGCGCCUCCACACACACACACACACACACACACACACACACACACACACACACAUACAUACACACACACAUAUGAUCACACGAAUAUCUGUGAAAGAAUAGCAAAGAAGACGGUUACCAUAUUUAUCUCUAAAACAAUUAGAAACAAGAGAUAUAAAUAGACAAAGAUUAGAUUCAGUGCCGCCUCACAAGAAAGAACGUAUGUAAUAAGAUCGCACAUUAACAAUUAACAAAUCACAAGGUCAGUCAUUAGCUCACACUAUAAUAAAACUACCUUCUCCCAUGUCAAAUAAGAGUGCAGUUUCAUGUGGUACUCAGAGUAGAACUAGAAGUAUGUAGAAUUAUAAGCAAACUACAUGUAGUCAAGAAAGGAAAUCUAUUCUGAGAUAAACAUUUUCUCUUAAAAAAAAAAAACGUAGAAAAAAUAUAUUUAAUUUGGUAUUAUUUGUAAUGCAUCCACGUCUUGACCAAAGUCACCUGAAAAUUUCUAUUUUAUUUUAUUUUAUUUUAUUUUGUGUGUCCACAUAUUAUAGCAAAUAUGUUAUUACUAUUUUCAAUACAUUUAAUAAGAUAAACAUGUUUAAAAAUCAUUAUUGACCAACCGGAAAUACUAGAAUCUCUCUCUCUCUCUCUUCCCCCCCAAUCUCUCUCUUUCCAUCUCUCUCUCUCUCUCUCUCAAUAUAAAUGUAUUAAAUUAAAUUGUUUCCUUUCUUCACCUUUUUCAUUUCUUUCCUGAUUUAAUUUUCGAUUCUUUUCGUCUAGCAAAUUCUAUAUAAACUGAAAUUGUUGCUUAAUGAAAGAUGAAACGG
rnacentral:lncRNA from 1 species